CUGGGUUAAAUCCAUUCGAAGUCCGCAGAGAUGUGGAUGUGCCCCUCGGGGAGCGAAUGAGACGGUGCUGCAUGGCUGUCGUCAGCUCGUGUCGUGAGAUGUUGGGUUAAGUCCCGCAACGAGCGCAACCCUCGUCGUUAGUUGGCAUCAGUUAGGCUGGCCACUCUAACGAGACUGCCGGCGUUAAGCCGGAGGAAGGUGGGGAUGACGUCAAGUCCUCAUGGCCCUUAUGCCCAGGGCUACACACGUGCUACAAUGGCCGGUACAAUGGGCUGCUAACCCGCGAGGGGGAGCCAAUCCCAAAAAACCGGUCUCAGUUCGGAUUGGAGUCUGCAACUCGACUCCAUGAAGUUGGAAUCGCUAGUAAUCCCUGAUCAGCAGGCAGGGGUGAAUACGUUCCC
rnacentral:rRNA from 1 species